UACGUAGGGUGCGAGCGUUAAUCGGAAUUACUGGGCGUAAAGCGUGCGCAGGCGGUGAUGUAAGACAGGUGUGAAAUCCCCGGGCUUAACCUGGGAACUGCAUUUGUGACUGCAUCGCUGGAGUGCGGCAGAGGGGGAUGGAAUUCCGCGUGUAGCAGUGAAAUGCGUAGAGAUCCGGAGGAACACCAGCGGCGAAGGCGGCAUCCUGGACUGGUCCUGACGCUCAGGAGCGAAAGCGUGGGGAGCGAUCCGG
rnacentral:rRNA from 1 species